rnacentral:lncRNA from 1 species
AAGACAGCUCAACCCAUUGGAACAAACAGACUCCCAAUGUGGCUGGCAACUGCGGGGGUAGAAGAACUCAGGCAAAGUAGGCACAGGAAUGGGGGAGAUGAGAGCCAAGGGACAAACGCCGAGAAAGCGUUCCGACAAGCAUGUGUGUUCAUACAUGCAUACCCCCAACAAAGGGCAAUGCACUGUGUAACAGAACUGAACACAAUUUAACAAAGCUGCUCCCAGCCUUCCUGUCACCUCUUUGGCAGUAGGGCAGGCCAUCUCAACUUCGGACACACAAAGACAUUCUCUUCAGGAGGAAGGCUGUCCUGUGUGGUGGGGACAAGGCUUCAG